GAUGAACGCUGGCGGCGUGCCUAAUACAUGCAAGUCGAGCGAACAGACGAGGAGCUUGCUCCUCUGACGUUAGCGGCGGACGGGUGAGUAACACGUGGAUAACCUACCUAUAAGACUGGGAUAACUUCGGGAAACCGGAGCUAAUACCGGAUAAUAUAUUGAACCGCAUGGUUCAAUAGUGAAAGACGGUUUUGCUGUCACUUAUAGAUGGAUCCGCGCCGCAUUAGCUAGUUGGUAAGGUAACGGCUUACCAAGGCAACGAUGCGUAGCCGACCUGAGGGGGUGAUCGGCCACACUGGAACUGAGCCACGGUCCAGACUCCUACGGGAGGCAGCAGUAGGGAAUCUUCCGCAAUGGGCGAAAGCUUGGCGGAGCAACGCCGCGUGAGUGAUGAAGGUCUUCGGAUCGUAAAACUCUGUUAUUAGGGAAGAACAAAUGUGUAAGUAACUAUGCACGUCUUGAGGGUACCUAAUCAGAAAGCCACGGCUAACUACGUG
rnacentral:rRNA from 1 species